CCUUGUUUAAAAACCAAAAUGCUUACCUCCCAACCUGCUGAAGGAGAGAUACAAAGUUCUAACCAAGCAGAGUGCAAAUUGGCAGUAAAACACCUCCCUGCCAGGGCUCAUGUAGAGCAGAUAUCUGCUUUACAGUUCAGAGAACUCUUUUAGUUUCCAAGUAUGAAAAGAUCUAUAAAAAGAAGAGCGAAUAAUUUAAUCACUUGAGGAAAAUUGACAGGUCAUAAUCAAAGGAAAUUAAGCACUGAUGGAAGAUAAAAACCUCAAAUACUGUCUCAGUAUGAUCAUAUUGUUCAGGUCUGUGUCUGUGUAUUUUGCAGCGGUUAAAUGAAUUUCAGCACUGAUUAUGCAUUCCGUGACAGAAUAAAAGAGCAGACUCAUUUUCCUGUGUAGAUGGUUUCUCUCUGGAGGAAGCAACCACUCCAGAAGUCUUUGCACUGAAGGAAACAUAAGUAUCUCUUGCUUUUAAUGGAGUAAUCAGUGUUUGAACACACUGAACACAAGCAAGGAUGAAACUCGGCCUUAAAAAUGAUUCCCAGGCUAACAGGUAACCUGACCACCUGCUGCCUCAUCUCCAAGAUGAAGCUGUCACAUGUGAGAAAUGUUAAACAGAGAUGGCAGAAGCAGCUAAAAAUCAUGGUCCUGAAGCUAAGAAACAAAGGAAGAACCUAUAGAGAUGAGGAAGCAGGCUCAGCAUCAAUAGAGAUACUACACUACGUUGGACUUUUAUCUCAAGGACAAUCAUUCAUGAUGGUUUUGUCUUAUCAAUGUUCUAAAAAGGGUAAUAUAACUGGGUCAGAGUCAUAUAUAAAAACACUGAACUUUUUAGACCAUUUGCAGUUCCUGCAAGGUACCUUGUAACAUUGGCCAGGGAAGUCUAGCUGGUCUAAUGCCUCUUCAGAAAGCUCAUGGCUUGGAAAGCAACAAAGUAGACAAAAGAGUGGGCACAACCUCACAUAUGGGGAAAUGCCUCCAGCCUGGUAAGGAGUGUCUCAUAUCAACAUGAGGCAAUCAGAUUUGCUUUGUGGACAGUUAUACAUUUAAAAGCAUUUCUUUGGAAUUGUUCGCCUUCGAAUGGGGGGGCCUAGGAAUGUUCAUUGGCUGAAGACUUGGCCUGUGGGCAAAUGAUUCCAACUUGAUACAGGAAAUUGGGAGAUUAUACCAAUGUAUCCUGUGUAGGCAAGAUACAAAGCUGGCAUUUCCCUGCUUCCUUUUAUCUGCUGAUAGAAAUUUGCAUGGCCUGGAAAAUAGGAACAGGGCCAGACAGUCACUCCAGAAAAGCAGGCUCCACCACUUUGGACUGUAAGUAAGAGUUUGUACUGUCAUUGUUAGUUGUCAUCAACUGACCAGUACAACCUUGGACGACCCACUGCUACUGAAGAUCAGCACCUGACACCAAGGCAUCACUGGAUUGAGGAGUGGUGAUUUGCUAUGUUUCUAUAUCUGUCUGUCUGUCUCUCUUUCCCUUUUUUCUAUCUUUAUCUUCUUUUAUUCUUUUACACUUUGUAGUAACCACUGCCUGAUAUUGUCUUACCUGUAAAGCUUAUUAAUCAUAAUUAGCAAAUUAGCCAAUUUUAUCUUCGAGUAUUAGUUGUUAAGAAAGCUCUCAAUAAAUCGAUGUUUUAUUCUUCUGAGUCUUAGAUGACUCCACUGCGGUAGCAACUUCCAAUGGCUAUGGGAGGCACAACUCAGAAGAAAGGAAAAGAUUCACCUCCCUCAAAACCUACUGUGUGGGACGAGACAGGAAAGUAUUCACUUACAUGUCAAAACAGAAAUCUGUCCUGGACUCCAGUUUUCUUGUUCCAGUAAAACCAUAAAACUGCUUAAGAAAAAAACCCAAAUGACAGAAAUAAAGGGAUGGGAGGCAGGGUGAGGGGACUGUGUUCUGUUUAAGGUGCAAUCAGAGCACCUGUCGGGCAACAUAUGUGUCUGAUAAAAUUGAUUGCAACACCCAGUGGGUACCUGAAUAACUAUGAAGCAAGGCACUGCACCCACUCUGGGGACAUGUAGUUAUGUAGCUAACAUGAAAUGACGAUUCAAAUUAAUGCUAUCCCUGGCAAAUGAAAAGGGUUGCUUGCACAUUUCUAACAUUCAUAGCUAGAAAAUUAUAACUUAUCAGCAUAUCUUAACGGCUAGAGCAGAGGCCAGCUCUGUUCUGACACAGUAUGUAAUACCAAAAGGGUUGAUCUAAGCUUGUCAGCUGCUUUCUUCAGAGAAAAAAAGAGCCUGCAGAACCAGAUGCUUAGCUGAUCAAGAUCCAUACAGAAGUUUCAGUACAAACAAGAAGCUGUUGGCCAUCCUGCAUGUAAUGACCACCCUGACUCCUAGUUCUUAGGCUGCCUGAGUGCAGUAUGUAACUGUUGGAAGUUAUUAGAGAUAACAGCAUGACAGGAUAACAAAUCACACUGGAACCAAAUGCCAUUUCAAGUUUAAUCACCAAUUAAGAAUCACUGGGAUGGAGAAGAGAUUCUGAAGAGCAGAAUUGCUACAGUCCCACCUCAUGAACAACUAUACUAUGAGACUGCCCUCCUCAUGCAGAGUUCAGGCCCAGUGCAAUGAGCCAACAACAGAAAAUAAAUGUGAAAUUCCUCUUGACAUAGAUUUUUCCUCUGCAGACAGAUUUGCCACGUACCAGAACCUUUUUUUUUUUUUUAAUUGCAGUUUUUCUGCCAAAACUCUUCAAGAACUGUUGAAGAGGGAUAACAGCAAUUGAACAGUGGGCACUGAAAGGAUCUGGUCAUCCACCACAACUCUUCCUUCUUCCUCUAUUGCUUUAAACUAUUCUUCAUGCAGCCUGUCACACACUUCUUUCUAUCCAAAGCCUAAGAAACCACUAGGCAUUAUUAGGAGAAGAGUUACAAAGACACAAAGGGAGCUGUGGAUAAGGUUUAAUGGGCCACACCUCCAUGGCAAAAAUGCAUUACGUGCCAGAUUAUAGAGGAAGAGAGGUUAAGAAAAAAUAAAAGUCUUUUAACUAACAGUCACCUCACAAUAGCUCUUGCCAGUCUGGCAUGGGGCAAAAUUAACACCAUACCUCAUUUGGUGUUUGGUUAAUGGUGAGCACAGACACACAUAUUAUCAGAAUUUUUCUGAAAUACAUCAAAAGGAGUCUCCUGCCUGCAUGAAUUCCAGGCUUUGUUGACAAUAAUGUUUUUUUUUUUAAAUAAAAUCCAGAUGUCUCCCAGAUUUUGACAGUAUUGAAUUAAAGAGUUCUAACAUGUUCCAGUUCACCAUCCUUAACCUACCCCUCUCAGAAGUACCUGUGACAUGUGAAGGCAGCCUAGCGCCCAGUACAAAUGGGGACAUGAAUGGAAAGGGAGGAGACUGGAUAGAACUCUCACUGCUUUCAACACCUCUUGCAGUGGCAAGGCAACAGCAGACAGCUCGAACGCAUGGAAUCCCUCCUCUCCUAAUCAUCUUCAAAUACUCUGUCACUUUCUCAACUGUUCAUUUUGAUUUAAUUCUCUUUUCUGGCAUGUUUUAUUGUAACUGCAUGCUUCCAUCAAUUACACCAAGCACAAGGACAGAAUAAUAUCAAAAUCUGAUGUCAGGAGUUCCCUAUUCCAAAUGAUCUCCCUUAUAUAUCUUCUAAUAGGUUACUCACAGCAGUAUUUUAUCCCAUAAAAAGCAAGUGCUGCUGCUUUUUCUAUGUGUGGCCUAUGGAUUGAUCCUUUGAAUAGCCAUUUGUGCAGGAAGUACCAGCUCUCACCGCCUGUCAGCCUUCCUAUGAUUCACUGUCCUAAAGGGCCAUUUCUGGAAGUCCUGGCUGACAACUUGAUGAGAAUAGGAAGUUCUGGAAACAAUUAGUCAGUGAGCCAAAGGGCGCCACAACCAUAACUAAUAAAAAUGCUCUGCCCUUCUUUGACAAUUGCACUCUAAGACUCUUCAAGUACCAAAUAUAUCAUAAUUAAUUGUAUCUCAUGCCCUCUUACCUCCCCUCACAAGGAGGCAAUUACUUUUGUAUCACAGACAACCUGUGGUACCUAGGAGUGAAGGAUCAUAUGCACAGGGGAUGUGCCUAACUGACUGUGACAAGGUAUUUUUUAGGGCCAGUUCUUCUCAAUGUUUUUAUGAAUGAUUUGGAUGCAGGAUUUGAAUGCAUACUGAGUAAAUUUGCAGACUAUACUAAAUUAAAAGGAGCUGUUGACUCCCUUGAGGGCAGAGAGGCCUUGCAGAGAGAUGUUCACAAAUUAGAGGGCUGUGCAGUCACCGACUGCAUGAAGUUUAACAAGAGCAAGUGCUGGAUUCUGCACCUGAGAGAGGGCAACCCUGGCUAUAUGUAAAACUAAGGAAGGAGAGGCUGAAGAGCUGUAGAAAGGAAUCUGGGGGUCCCAGUUGAUGGCAAGUUGAAUGCAAAUCAGCAGUUUGUUAAUUUCCAGUUCUGACUUUUUUAGCUCGUUAAUUGGAUCUGGAUGAGAUACCAGAGUCACUAUGGACUGGGGUCACUGAUUUUUCACAGAUUUGUUUCAAAGCUCUGACCUUAAUUUCUGUUAGCAGUUGUCAGCAUCAAUAGUUCACAUUUGCCCAAGCUGAAGCAGUACUUAGCUGCCCAUUUUAAACAUAGGACAUGUUGCUUAAUAUAAAGGCCUUGACCUUUUAAGGAUGUCAUAUAGCUUACCAUCUCAUAAGAUAUGCCUUUAAUUUUUCCUAUGAACGUCUACUUCAGCCUGUGCUUUAAAAAUAAUUACCAAUAUAAAACUCCUAGCAAUAUUCUCCCUGUGUUUUUGAAAUAUAAUGUUUAUGCACUUAACACUGCAUUUUUUAGUUGGGGACUGCAGCUCAGGGGAUGUGAUGCUAGCAUGAGGUCUUACUGGGAUUCAAGUUGAAGUCUAUCAGUUUAGCUAGCAGAUGUGAACAGGUGACUGGACUCAAAAAGAUGACCUCUUCCAGACCUGAUCUUGCGAAGAUGUAGCAUGCAGUGGAAAGCAGAGCCAGAACAUGCCCUCUGCUCCUCUGAAUGCUUUCAUCACAGAUUGCCAAAUAUAGUUUAUUCAGCCUAUAUUUGUUUCCUUUCACCUGAGAUGCUAGGGAAGCCUCUUUGAGAUAUGAAACCCCAAAAUCUUGCAAUUCAACUCACAGAAAAACAUGUGACAGGUCUCCAUUUCCCCUUAACGCUGCUAAUAUUUACUCUCCAUACUAAGAUCAUCACUGUGCAUGAUGGGGCCUGUAAAGGGGCAAGAAAAGCCCAAAAGACUCUUGAAAAAGAUUUCACCAGCAGCAGGAGCUUGAAGAAUUGCUAGCAGUCAUCUAACCAUCCCCUCCCCAUCACUGCAUCUAGAACUUGUCAUUUUUUACUUGUAAUUUUUUACCGCGAAGACUUACUGGUUGUAAGAAAAUAAGACAAAUAAUUGAACCAUAAAUAUGUAUUACUGACAAAAGUCCUCAAAUGAAAUUUUCUCUCAUAGCUUUUUUGUUUGUUUGUCUUUAACCUUCUGAAUUAUGUUAACAUUUCUGGGGGUGGGGAAAGUGGGAAAGAGAAAACAACUUGAAAUAAAG
ensembl:lncRNA